CUGUGUGCUUCAGAGGUCUUUGGAUUCCUGCUUGUGUGUGUGUAGAUCUCUGUGUGUCUCACUGUGGGAGCCUGGUCAUGAUUGUGUUUGAGGCCAUACAAUGAAACUGUUGAAGGUCAGACCUUCAAGCUGAGGAGUGUUGUGUCGGAGGACACCAACUGUGAACAAACUCUCUUCCCCUGACUAAGUCCAGCUUGAAAAUGCCAGUUGCAGCAACAUGGGGCAUUUUGGCUUAAAUGACAGACCAGAACAGAUUACUGAAGGAAUGACUGUGCCCUUGGAUUGUUGAAUUAAAUUAAAUCUCCCUACUCUC